UCUUUCAAAGUUACCUCACACUGAUUCCUCAAGGAAUGAUCAUUUUUUAGAAAUUUAUUCAAAAUUCAAAGAUAGACAAUUUCACUGGGAAGAUUUUUCUGAUGCUUUAAUUAAACUUAUUCAAAAUUCAAAGAUGGACAAUUUCACUGGGAAGAUUUUCCUGAUGCUUUAAUUAACAACGCUCGCAACGGGGAGCCGAUUUCUCCUGCUGGUUUUAACUCGGUU
rnacentral:lncRNA from 1 species